rnacentral:lncRNA from 1 species
UAUAUUAUGAGGUGAAAUUCUGAAGUCAUAAUUUAAGUUCGCGGCCCACAGUAGCCAACAGCAGCAGAUCAGAGCAAAGAGAACGGCGACGCGAACCAACAGCAGCAGAGCCAAAGAGAACGACGACGUGAGCCAGCAGCAGAGCCAAAGAGAACGACGAAGUGAGCCAGCAGCCCGAGAGCGGCCAGCAGCAGAGCAGAGCAGAGAAGCAGAGCCAGAGAACGACGACGCGAGCCGCCAACAGAACAGAGAGAACAGAGAACAGAGCCUUCGAAAUCGAGAGCCAGCAGCAGAGCAGCAGAAAGAAACGAGAACGACGACGAGAGCCAGCAGCAGAGCGGCAACGGCAGAGCCAGAGAUCAACGCCGAGAGCCAGCAGCAGAGAAGCAGAGCGAGAGAGCAAGGACGCCGGAGAGCGGCCAGCAGCAGAGCAGAGCAGAGAAGCAGAGCCAGAGAACGACGACACGAGCCGCCAACAGAACAGAGAGAACAGAGAACAGAGCCUUCGAAAUCGAGAGCCAGCAGCAGAGCAGCAGAAAGAAACGAGAACGACGACGAGAGCCAGCAGCAGAGCGGCAGAAGCAGAGCCAGAGAUCAACGCCGAGAGCCAGCAGCAGAGAAGCAGAGCGAGAGAGCAAGGGCGCCGGCAGCAGCCCGAGAGCCACGGGCGUGGGCAGCGACGGCAGCGCAGCCCGGACAAGGGACCGCAGCUAAGGGCUCGCGAUCGCCACGCAGAGCUCGCCUCGGGGAGAAAUGUUUCGAACACCGGGAGGACCAGUCGAGAUCGCUGCGGCGACAAAAGUGAAAAAAUUAAAAAGUGCGCCAUAACCCCACCGUUGCCCACGAGAGGCUCAAGACACCGUUGACCACGAGAGGCUCAAGGACCGAGCGCCAGGCGAGGAGACAAAAGACCGAUAGGCUCGAGAGGAUCGGGUAAGCGAGGCUGUGGGCCUCACCCUUUUUCUAGUACGACUUAGUUUGGUGCGACGUAGGUAGGGACAUAUGAAAUUUAAGUACAUACGGCGGUAAGACAGGGAAAAGGACAAGGAAAAAUAUGAAAUAAAGAUAUGAGAAUAAAGAAACAAAACUAAACAAUGUGCUUGUGUGUAACAGUGUAAAUUUAACCCUUUCCCCACUCCCAAAGUGCAAGACGGUAAGUGUGGUCACUAAGCAGGUCACUACCGCGCCAGACCGCGGGCUCUCAAACGGCGCGUGCCUGUCUCCGAAACGGGUGCUGCCUAGGUACUACCAGGGGCGCUCGCGUCGGAGCAGACAGGGGCGGCUACACUGCCAGAAGGCGUCUCCACUAACCACCGGAUGACCGGUGUCGAUCAGGUUCCCUUUCCGCCCCAUACGCCCACCUUUCCACACACGGCGUCUCCAUUUCCGCAAUCUCGGGUCUCGGCGCUUUACAAAUUUCUUUGUAAGGUGGCCCUGGAGAGGCUGAGCUACGUCAGCCUUCGAAAAGACUACCUUACAAAGUAAAAC